rnacentral:rRNA from 1 species
UACGGAGGAUGCGAGCGUUAUCCGGAUUUAUUGGGUUUAAAGGGUGCGCAGGCGGAGGUGCAAGUCAGCGGUCAAAAUGCGGGGCCCAACCCCGGUACUGCAUUUGAAACUGUCCGGCUGGAGUGCAGGAGAGGUAAGCGGAAUUCCUAGUGUAGCGGUGAAAUGCGUAGAUAUUAGGAGGAACACCAGUGGCGAAGGCGGCUUACUGGACUGUAACUGACACUGAGGCACGAAAGCGUGGGGAGCAAACAGG